rnacentral:rRNA from 1 species
UACAGAGGUCCCAAGCGUUGUUCGGAUUCACUGGGCGUAAAGGGUGCGUAGGUGGCGAGGUAAGUUUGAUGUGAAAUCUCCGAGCUCAACUCGGAAAUGGCAUUGAAUACUAUCUUGCUGGAGGAUUGGAGGGGGGACUGGAAUUCUCGGUGUAGCAGUGAAAUGCGCAGAUAUCAGGAGGAACACCGGUGGCGAAGGCGGUGGUCUGGGCCGGAACUGACGCUGAGGAGCGAAAGCGUGGGGAGCGAACAGG